AUGGACGGCAAAACGCCUCAUCGGCUGCCUCCGAGCGAGGCCAACAAGGAGAUCCGGGAUGACGUCCCACUGGUCUGCGCAUGGGCGCUCAUCAACGCCUUCAGCAUCGUCGUCGGAGCAGCAAGCGGCUGCGUAGCCGCCUACCUCCAUGUCUCGUGCAGCCAGUCCUCCUUCAUUCUGCCGUGCAUCGAGCUGACGGACGCGGAGAAAACCAGGCUAAUCGCCCUCUUCAUCGGGAUGUUGUGCUGCGCCGCGUCCCAGGCGGCCGCGGCCGCGCCGGCGCUGCUGCUCCCACGCCGUCGUCGCUGGGCCCGCCGUGCCCUCGCCUACCUCGCGCUCGCGGUCACCAUCCUCUUCCAUUGCAUGUACGCCAGUUUAGUCUGGAUCCUCCUCGCCGCCGACCCAGGACACAUGUCCGGCAGGAUCUACUACACCGUGAUCAUCUGCUUCAUGGUGGUGUGCGACCUCCUGAGCUGCGUGGCCCUCCUCCUGGAGGUGAUGAGGCGGCGCAAGCAGUGCGUAGCCUAG
rnacentral:rRNA from 1 species